GAUGAACGCUGGCGGCGUGCCUAAUACAUGCCAGUCGAGCGAACAGAUGAGGAGCUUGCUCCUCUGACGUUAGCGGCGGACGGGUGAGUAACACGUGGAUAACCUCCCUAUAAGACUGGGAUAACUUCGGGAAACCGGAGCUAAUACCGGAUAAUAUAUUGAACCGCAUGGUUCAAUAGUGAAAGACGGUUUUGCUGUCACUUAUAGAUGGAUCCGCGCCGCAUUAGCUAGUUGGUAAGGUAACGGCUUACCAAGGCGACGAUGCGUAGCCGACCUGAGAGGGUGAUCGGCCACACUGGAACUGAGACACGGUCCAGACUCCUACGGGAGGCAGCAGUAGGGAAUCUUCCGCAAUGGGCGAAAGCCUGACGGAGCAACGCCGCGUGAGUGAUGAAGGUCUUCGGAUCGUAAAACUCUGUUAUUAGGGAAGAACAAAUGUGUAAGUAACUAUGCACGUCUUGACGGUACCUAAUCAGAAAGCCACGGCUAACUACGUG
rnacentral:rRNA from 1 species